rnacentral:rRNA from 1 species
UACGGGGGGGGCAAGCGUUGUUCGGAAUUACUGGGCGUAAAGGGUUCGUAGGUGGCCUGCUAAGUCAGACGUGAAAUCCCUCAGCUUAACUGGGGAACUGCGUCUGAGACUGGUGGGCUUGAGUGCAGGAGAGGAACGCGGAAUUCCAGGUGUAGCGGUGAAAUGCGUAGAUAUCAGGAGGAACACCGGUGGCGAAGGCGGGUCUCUGGGCCGAAACUGACGCUGAGGAGCGAAAGCGUGGGGAGCAAACAGG